UACGUAGGGUACAAGCGUUAAUCGGAAUUACUGGGCGUAAAGCGUGCGCAGGCGGUUUUGUAAGUCUGUCGUGAAAGCCCCGGGCUCAACCUGGGAAUUGCGAUGGAGACUGCAAGGCUUGAAUCUGGCAGAGGGGGGUAGAAUUCCACGUGUAGCAGUGAAAUGCGUAGAGAUGUGGAGGAACACCGAUGGCGAAGGCAGCCCCCUGGGUCAAGAUUGACGCUCAUGCACGAAAGCGUGGGGAGCAAACAGG
rnacentral:rRNA from 1 species